AGUGAACGCUGGCGGUAGGCCUAACACAUGCAAGUCGAACGGCAGCACAGUAAGAGCUUGCUCUUACGGGUGGCGAGUGGCGGACGGGUGAGGAAUACAUCGGAAUCUACUUUUUCGUGGGGGAUAACGUAGGGAAACUUACGCUGAUACCGCAUACGACCUACGGGUGAAAGCAGGGGAUCUUCGGACCUUGCGCGAUUGAAUGAGCCGAUGUCGGAUUAGCUAGUUGGCGGGGUAAAGGCCCACCAAGGCGACGAUCCGUAGCUGGUCUGAGAGGAUGAUCAGCCACACUGGAACUGAGACACGGUCCAGACUCCUACGGGAGGCAGCAGUGGGGAAUAUUGGACAAUGGGCGCAAGCCUGAUCCAGCCAUACCGCGUGGGUGAAGAAGGCCUUCGGGCUGUAAAGCCCUUUUGUUGGGAAAGAAAAGCAGCAGGUUAAUACCCCGCUGUUCUGACGGUACCCAAAGAAUAAGCACCGGCUAACUUCGUG
rnacentral:rRNA from 1 species